CGCCUCUUGCUAAAUCAUAAGAGGUCCAGCCUGCCCAGUGAUUUUAUUCAACGGCCGCGGUACCCUAACCGUGCGAAGGUAGCAUAAUCACUUGUUCUUUAAAUGGGGACUUGUAUCAACGGCAUCACGAGGGUUAUACUGUCUCCUUUCUCCAAUCAGUGAAACUGAUCUCCCCGUGAAGAAGCGGGGAUACUUAUAUAAGACGAGAAGACCCCAUGGAGCUUUAAACCCAAUUGCACCUCGCCCGUAUUAUACCCUCUUAACUAGCGAGUCCUGUCUCUUGGUUUUAGGUUGGGGUGACCACGGAGCACAAAAACACCUCCGAGAUGAAUGGGGCUAACCCCCUUAUCUAAGAGCUACCUCUCUAAGAAUUAGUAUUCUAACAUAAAAUGAUCCGAUUUUCGAUCAACGAACCAAGUUACCCUGGGGAUAACAGCGCAAUCCACUUCAAGAGCCCCUAUCGACAAGUGGGUUUACGACCUCGAUGUUGGAUCAGGGUAUCCCAGCGGUGCAGCAGCUGCUAAAGGUUCGUUUGUUCAACGAUUAAAACCCU
rnacentral:rRNA from 1 species